rnacentral:rRNA from 1 species
GAUGAACGCUGGCGGCGUGCUUAACACAUGCAAGUCGAACGGAAAGGCUCCUGCUUGCUGGGGUACUCGAGUGGCGAACGGGUGAGUAACACGUGGGUGAUCUGCCCUGCACUUCGGGAUAAGCCUGGGAAACUGGGGCUAAUACCGGAUAGGACCUCAUGUUGGAUGGUGUGGUGGGAAGUUUUUCGGUGUGGGAUGAGCUCGCGGCCUAUCAGCUUGUUGGUGGGGUAAUGGCCUACCAAGGCGUCGACGGGUAGCCGGCCUGAGAGGGUGUACGGCCACAUUGGGACUGAGAUACGGCCCAGACUCCUACGGGAGGCAGCAGUGGGGAAUAUUGCACAAUGGGCGGAAGCCUGAUGCAGCGACGCCGCGUGCGGGAUGACGGCCUUCGGGUUGUAAACCGCUUUCGCUAGGGACGAAGCGCAAGUGACGGUACCUGGAGAAGAAGCACCGGCUAACUACGUG